rnacentral:rRNA from 1 species
UUUAAAUGGCCGCAGUAUAUUAACUGUGCAAAGGUAGCAUAAUCAUUAGUUUUUUAAUUGAAAGCUGGUAUGAAUGAUUGGACGAAAUAUUAACUAUUUUAAGAUAAUUUAUAUUAAAAUUUUAUUUUUUAGUAAAAAAGCUAAAAUAUAAUUAAAAGACGAGAAGACCCUUUAAAGCUUUAUAUUAAAAUUAAAAUAAUUUUUAGGAUUAUUUUUAUUAUAGUAGUAAAUAAUAUUUUAUUGGGGUGAUAUUAAAAUUUAAAAAACUUUUAAUUAAAAAAAUCAUUUAUUUAUGAAUUAUUGAUCCGUAAUUAACGAUUAAAAAAUUAAGUUACUUAAGGGAUAACAGCGUAAUUUUUUUGGAGAGUUCUUAUCAAUAAAAAAGAUUGCGACCUCGAUGUUGGAUUAAAAUAUAAUUUUAGGUGUAGCUGCUUAAAUUUUAAGUCUGUUCGACUUUUAAAUUUUUACAUGAUCUGAGUUUAAACCGGUGUAAGCCAGGUUGGUUUCUAUCUUUAAUAA